GAUGAACGCUGGCGGCGUGCCUAAUACAUGCAAGUCGAGCGAACAGACGAGGAGCUUGCUCCUCUGACGUUAGCGGCGGACGGGUGAGUAACACGUGGAUAACCUACCUAUAAGACUGGGAUAACUUCGGGAAACCGGAGCUAAUACCGGAUAAUAUAUUGAACCGCAUGGUUCAAUAGUGAAAUACGGUUUUGCUGUCACUUAUAGAUGGAUCCGCGCCGCAUUAGCUAGUUGGUAAGGUAACGGCUUACCAAGGCAACGAUGCGUAGCCGACCUGAGAGGGUGAUCGGCCACACGGGAGCUGGGACGCGGUCAAUACUCCUACGGGAGGCAGCAGUAGGGAAUCUUACGCAAUGGGCGAAAGCCUGACGGAGCAACGCCGCGUGAGUGAUGAAGGUGUUCGGAUCGUAAAACUCUGUUAUUAGGGAAGAACAAAUGUGUAAGUAGCUAUGCACGUCUUGACGGUACCUAAUCAGAAAGCCACGGCUAACUACGUG
rnacentral:rRNA from 1 species